rnacentral:piRNA from 1 species
UCCCAGAGGAAUGAAAAUCAGCAACGUGGU